GACGGAGGGCGCAAGCGUUGUUCGGAAUUACUGGGCGUAAAGAGCGCGCAGGCGGGAAGGUAAGUCUGGCGUGAAAUUCCGGGGCUCAACUCCGGAGCUGCUUUGGAUACUGUCUUUCUAGGGUCCGGUAGAGGCCGGUGGAAUUCCCGGUGUAGCGGUGGAAUGCGUAGAGAUCGGGAAGAACACCCGUGGCGAAGGCGGCCGGCUGGGCAGUAGCUGACGCUGAGGCGCGACAGCGUGGGGAGCAAACAGG
rnacentral:rRNA from 1 species